UCCAAUGUGGUGUAGUGGUUAACAUUGCUGUCUUUCAUAUUGUGUAUGUACGCACAGCAGCCCGGGGUUCGAUUCCCCGCAUUGGAA